AAAGAAAUAUAGUAAGAAGCUUCUAACUUCUAAGAGGGCCAUAAGUUCAU
rnacentral:tRNA from 1 species